UAAAGCCUUUGGGGCAAGGUGAAAAAGAGUAAAAUCUUUUAAUUCCUGACCGGCGGUAUAGCCCGCGAACCGUUUUUUACGGUUGAUCUGGUUCAAUUCCAGAGCCGACAGUAUAGUCUGGAUGGUAAAAGGCGUAA
rnacentral:ncRNA from 2 species